rnacentral:lncRNA from 1 species
GAUUUCUGAGAGGGUAACAGGCUGCUGUUUUCUUCCUCUCCUAUUUUUGCAUUGUUUUUAGACCCAAAGGGCAGUGCCCGAGCACCUGAUGUUAUCUCUGUGGAUCCUGUCACUGGGCUGUUAAUUCCCAGCCCACACUGUGCCAUGCUGCUGAGCAGCCAGUGCUCUGGGCCAGUACCAAGCAACCAUUUCCUGCAUCCAGGCACUGGGAAGGUGCUUCACAUAGCGGGCAACGUUGGUUAUGAUCCCAUCAGAUCUGGGCUGGUCUGUACUGUUGAUUCUGCUUCAGGUGAGCGUCAGAAACCUGAAGUGCCCAUAUUUCCUUACAUUCCUUACCCACUUUGUCCUGACACUGGCCUACCUGUGAAGACAAAACUUCCAGUCCUGUGUCCUGAAAAAAUAUUUGGUCUUGGAGGACUCAUGGCAGAUCCAGUGACAGAAAUAGAAGUACCAGUGCUUGGGGUUACGAUCCAUCCUCACACUGGGCAAAAGCUGGCUGUUGGUGGGACAUACCUCAACCCCAUCACCAGCACACUGACACCGCUGGAGAUCGGGGGUCCUAUGACAGAGCCAGAGGGAGGCAAGAUUGUUCCAAUCCUCGGGGUUGGUUUGGAUGGUAACACUGGAGAAGUUAUACCUCUAGGUGGGCUGACGGAUCCUUCUGGAAACUUAAUGCUUAUUGGAGAUUCCUUCAUUGAGCCUCUGAGUGGGAAAAUUGCCCGAGUACAGGGAGCUCACCUGCAGCAAGACAAGGUUCUGCCCCACGGUGGCAGUUACCAAGCAGUGCUGGAAGCUGAGUGGCUGCUAUCCCAAAGUCGUGUGGUGGAUGCUCUAAAGAAGCUUAAGGCAUCAGUUUUGGAAGAUACCUGUCUAGCAGCAGACAGAUUGGCAGUGCUAAAGGCUUCAGUAGAAGAUAUGAAGAAGUCUUUCACUGCUAGAUUUUACCAUGCAAUGCACUGCUUGAAAAGCCUCAAGAAAAAACAAGAAAUAGCCUCAAAUGUCAAGAGUAAUGGUGGGAAUCUGGGUAGGUGUACAACAGUCUGUUUUAAAGAGUAAAGGGGUGUCAUUACAAUUAUGGCUACAGUAAUGAACACAUUUCCAUCACAGGAUUUGGCCAAAAUACUAGUAGUUAAAACCUUUGUAAGGUUUUUGUUAAAAUAGCCUUUGUUAAGCAAAUCAUAGACUCAUA